AUAUCAAUCUGCAAGCCUUGUCUUGAUCAGCUUAUUAUUAUGACAACUUACUGAAACAGGCUUUUUAAAUUUACUUGUCAAUUUUGGUAGCGAGAAGAUUUAUCUUGACUAGUGGCAUUUAAAGACCUUUCAAUUUGUUUGUUGUAACUCACUUGCUAGGCAGUGAGCAGAUCACAGGUUCCCUAUCUGAUUCUGAUGUAAGCUUAUCAACUUCAAAGCUCUAAAUCAAAGCCAGACCAGGAAGGACUGGAAUUCCAUAGCAGCUGGGGCCAAGGCCUAGCUAUUAAAUAAACAUUAACCUUGCAGUUGUUUAGCACAAGAUUCAACAUAUAAAUUGGAAAAGCAACAUAAAUUCCAAUUAUGAAGCAGCUUGUACCAAAUGCAAUUGAUUUGAAAAUUUAAUAAAUUACCUUAACUUCAUCCACAUCAACAGCCAGAAACAGGACAUCUGGAUAAGCUGAGGCUAAUUCCUCAAAGAAAGGGUUCAUGGCCACCGAGGGAAUACACCAUGAAGCAGUAAAGUGCACAACAAUCUUUUAAUUGGUUACCAAUUACUGUGACUGGAAGACCAAUAUUAGAUUGCAACUCCAUGAAAUCAAAGGGGGUGAUCUGAGGAGGGCAGGCUUGAUUGUUGGCUUGGGUAACAUAGAAGUCCCAUGACUCUACCGAGUCCACCUUUACAACUCUUGAUUUAGUUUGCUGGUCUUGAGUCUCUAUCUCUUCCCCUUUCUUCUUCAUCUUGUGGUGGUUUCUUUUCUCCUUCCCUAGAGAAGUUUGUAAUUCUUGUUCUAGAUUAUAGAAACUAGUAUAUCUUUCUUGCUUCUUUGGUCUACCAGAAGAUCAGAUUAACCCAAAAUAUGAAUGGCUUCCUAUACGACCAACUUGUGUCCCCGGACCUAUCUAAGCCUAGCUGGAAAGAGUAGAGACAAUAUGUCCAUUGUCAGGGUAAAAGCACAUGAGAACUAUUGGUUUCAAACUAAUUAUGGAAUCAAUGACCGAUGCUCAUCCUGAC
rnacentral:misc_RNA from 1 species